UACAGAGGGUGCAAGCGUUAAUCGGAAUUACUGGGCGUAAAGCGUGCGUAGACGGUUACAUAAGUCGGGUGUGAAAGCCCCGGGCUCAACCUGGGAAUUGCAUUCGAGACUGCGUAGCUAGAGUCCGGAAGAGGAGAAUGGAAUUCCUGGUGUAGCGGUGAAAUGCGCAGAUAUCAGGAAGAACACCCGUGGCGAAGGCGGUUCUCUGGGACGGUACUGACGCUGAGACGCGAAAGCGUGGGGAGCGAACAGG
rnacentral:rRNA from 1 species